GGUUAAGCGACUAAGCGUACACGGUGGAUGCCCUGGCAGUCAGAGGCGAUGAAGGACGUGCUAAUCUGCGAUAAGCGCCGGUAAGGUGAUAUGAACCGUUAUAACCGGCGAUUUCCGAAUGGGGAAACCCAGUGUGACUCGUCACACUAUCAUUAACUGAAUCCAUAGGUUAAUGAGGCGAACCGGGGGAACUGAAACAUCUAAGUACCCCGAGGAAAAGAAAUCAACCGAGAUUCCCCCAGUAGCGGCGAGCGAACGGGGAGGAGCCCAGAGCCUGAAUCAGCAUGUGUGUUAGUGGAAGCGUCUGGAAAGGCGCGCGAUACAGGGUGACAGCCCCGUACACAAAAGCGCAUGUGCUGUGAGCUCGAUGAGUAGGGCGGGACACGUGGUAUCCUGUCUGAAUAUGGGGGGACCAUCCUCCAAGGCUAAAUACUCCUGACUGACCGAUAGUGAACCAGUACCGUGAGGGAAAGGCGAAAAGAACCCCGGCGAGGGGAGUGAAAAAGAACCUGAAACCGUGUACGUACAAGCAGUGGGAGCACAGGUUUACCUGUGUGACUGCGUACCUUUUGUAUAAUGGGUCAGCGACUUAUAUUCUGUAGCAAGGUUAACCGAAUAGGGGAGCCGGAGGGAAACCGAGUCUUAAUUGGGCGUUAAGUUGCAGGGUAUAGACCCGAAACCCGGUGAUCUAGCCAUGGGCAGGUUGAAGGUUGGGUAACACUAACUGGAGGACCGAACCGACUAAUGUUGAAAAAUUAGCGGAUGACCUGUGGCUGGGGGUGAAAGGCCAAUCAAACCGGGAGAUAGCUGGUUCUCCCCGAAAGCUAUUUAGGUAGCGCCUCGUGAAUUCAUCUCCGGGGGUAGAGCACUGUUUCGGCUAGGGGGCCAUCCCGGCUUACCAACCCGAUGCAAACUGCGAAUACCGGAGAAUGUUAUCACGGGAGACACACGGCGGGUGCUAACGUCCGUCGUGAAGAGGGAAACAACCCAGACCGCCAGCUAAGGUCCCAAAGUCAUGGUUAAGUGGGAAACGAUGUGGGAAGGCCCAGACAGCCAGGAUGUUGGCUUAGAAGCAGCCAUCAUUUAAAGAAAGCGUAAUAGCUCACUGGUCGAGUCGGCCUGCGCGGAAGAUGUAACGGGGCUAAACCAUGCACCGAAGCUGCGGCAGCGAACGUAUCACUUAAAGCGAUUCAGCGGGUUACGAUUGACGGAGCGAAGCGACGUCAAAGCGUAUACAAAGUCGAGUCGGUUUAAGGAUACGUUCGUUGGGUAGGGGAGCGUUCUGUAAGCCUGUGAAGGUGGCCUGUGAGGGUUGCUGGAGGUAUCAGAAGUGCGAAUGCUGACAUAAGUAACGAUAAAGCGGGUGAAAAGCCCGCUCGCCGGAAGACCAAGGGUUCCUGUCCAACGUUAAUCGGGGCAGGGUGAGUCGACCCCUAAGGCGAGGCCGAAAGGCGUAGUCGAUGGGAAACGGGUUAAUAUUCCCGUACUUGGUGUUACUGCGAAGGGGGGACGGAGAAGGCUAUGUUGGCCGGGCGACGGUUGUCCCGGUUUAAGCGUGUAGGUGUGUGUUCCAGGUAAAUCCGGUUCACUUUAACACUGAGGCGUGAUGACGAGGCACUACGGUGCUGAAGCAACAAAUGCCCUGCUUCCAGGAAAAGCCUCUAAGCAUCAGGUAACAUCAAAUCGUACCCCAAACCGACACAGGUGGUCAGGUAGAGAAUACCAAGGCGCUUGAGAGAACUCGGGUGAAGGAACUAGGCAAAAUGGUGCCGUAACUUCGGGAGAAGGCACGCUGACACGUAGGUGAAGUGAUUUACUCAUGGAGCUGAAGUCAGUCGAAGAUACCAGCUGGCUGCAACUGUUUAUUAAAAACACAGCACUGUGCAAACACGAAAGUGGACGUAUACGGUGUGACGCCUGCCCGGUGCCGGAAGGUUAAUUGAUGGGGUCAGCGCAAGCGAAGCUCCUGAUCGAAGCCCCGGUAAACGGCGGCCGUAACUAUAACGGUCCUAAGGUAGCGAAAUUCCUUGUCGGGUAAGUUCCGACCUGCACGAAUGGCGUAAUGAUGGCCAGGCUGUCUCCACCCGAGACUCAGUGAAAUUGAACUCGCUGUGAAGAUGCAGUGUACCCGCGGCAAGACGGAAAGACCCCGUGAACCUUUACUAUAGCUUGACACUGAACAUUGAGCCUUGAUGUGUAGGAUAGGUGGGAGGCUUUGAAGUGUGGACGCCAGUCUGCAUGGAGCCGACCUUGAAAUACCACCCUUUAAUGUUUGAUGUUCUAACGUGGACCCGUAAUCCGGGUUGCGGACAGUGUCUGGUGGGUAGUUUGACUGGGGCGGUCUCCUCCUAAAGAGUAACGGAGGAGCACGAAGGUUGGCUAAUCCUGGUCGGACAUCAGGAGGUUAGUGCAAUGGCAUAAGCCAGCUUGACUGCGAGCGUGACGGCGCGAGCAGGUGCGAAAGCAGGUCAUAGUGAUCCGGUGGUUCUGAAUGGAAGGGCCAUCGCUCAACGGAUAAAAGGUACUCCGGGGAUAACAGGCUGAUACCGCCCAAGAGUUCAUAUCGACGGCGGUGUUUGGCACCUCGAUGUCGGCUCAUCACAUCCUGGGGCUGAAGUAGGUCCCAAGGGUAUGGCUGUUCGCCAUUUAAAGUGGUACGCGAGCUGGGUUUAGAACGUCGUGAGACAGUUCGGUCCCUAUCUGCCGUGGGCGCUGGAGAACUGAGGGGGGCUGCUCCUAGUACGAGAGGACCGGAGUGGACGCAUCACUGGUGUUCGGGUUGUCAUGCCAAUGGCACUGCCCGGUAGCUAAAUGCGGAAGAGAUAAGUGCUGAAAGCAUCUAAGCACGAAACUUGCCCCGAGAUGAGUUCUCCCUGAGACUUAGAGUCUCCUGAAGGAACGUUGAAGACGACGACGUUGAUAGGCCGGGUGUGUAAGCGCAGCGAUGCGUUGAGCUAACCGGUACUAAUGAACCGUGAGGCUUAACCUU
rnacentral:rRNA from 1 species